rnacentral:rRNA from 1 species
GACGAACGCUGGCGGCGUGCUUAACACAUGCAAGUCGAACGGAAAGGCCCUGCUUUUGUGGGGUGCUCGAGUGGCGAACGGGUGAGUAACACGUGAGUAACCUGCCCUUGACUUUGGGAUAACUUCAGGAAACUGGGGCUAAUACCGGAUAGGAGCUCCUGCUGCAUGGGGGGGGUUGGAAAGUUUCGGCGGUUGGGGAUGGACUCGCGGCUUAUCAGCUUGUUGGGGGGGUAGUGGCUUACCAAGGCUUUGACGGGUAGCCGGCCUGAGAGGGUGACCGGCCACAUUGGGACUGAGAUACGGCCCAGACUCCUACGGGAGGCAGCAGUGGGGAAUAUUGCACAAUGGGCGGAAGCCUGAUGCAGCAACGCCGCGUGCGGGAUAACGGCCUUCGGGUGGUAAACCGCUUUCGCCUGUGACGAAGCGUGAGUGACGGUAAUGGGUAAAGAAGCACCGGCUAACUACGUG